UUGAGUUCAACUUUCUUGAAUAUAUGUUUAUGUACAAGUGUUAAUGCCUAUAUCUUAUCUUGAGCUUUGGCUGCAUGAUAUUAUAAUCUUGAACACAAUAUCAGCACAAGUAAUUAUGUUGAUAUUAUAUGUGAAGACAUUCAACAGACUACUACAUGCACGCAUGACCUUCUAGUUUCUAGCAAAUGAAUGAAGCAUUCAAUGUGGUAAAGACCUCAAAAGUCUAAUUCUUCACUAUAUAUGCUCUCAUGCAUUCUUCCAAGAAUCAAACAUCAAAUCCA
rnacentral:lncRNA from 1 species